UUCCAGUUUUUAAAAUUGGACCUACUACCUGCCAAUAUUUAAUAUUAUUUGAUAUCUGAAUUAUCUUUUAUUAUCAGGCCAAGAAGUCAACAUCGACAAGGAAAAGAAAAGAAAGAGACCAGAAUGCUUUGGAGUCCUUUGAUAUCCUACCUUAACAUUUCCUCUCCAAGUUUCACAUAUUAAAGUAAAUAUAAUAGCCAAAUUAAAA